AUCUGUUACAAAGUGUUUAGUUGACAUUCAAGCAGUAUUUCAUCAAUUUGCGCAUGUUGUUUUCUGUUAGUAAAAGUGUCUGUCAUAAUCAGAUAUGCAGCCUCGCCGUGACUGCAGGGGAAAAAAAACAAAAGAGCACUUUCAUAGACCGAAGAUACAAGAUGCUGAGUCUUGGCCUUUUUGUGUUUCGUCGCUUCACCGCAUGCAGUGAGACAUAAUCGUUUGUACACAAUCUGCGGUUGUGUUGCUAAAAACACACCUGUGCCUCAGCCAGCUGAACUCAUCAGUCUCUUGUAUUGAGGGUGGAAUACUGAAAAACAGAUGUAUGAAAUUUGACAUUAAAACAUUU